UGCCAGCAGCCGCGGUAAUACGGAGGGGGCUAGCGUUGUUCGGAAUUACUGGGCGUAAAGCGCGCGUAGGCGGCUUGGCAAGUUGGAGGUGAAAUCCCGAAGCUCAACUUCGGAACUGCCCCCAAAACUGCCUGGCUAGAGGCAAGGAGAGGAGAGCGGAAUACCCAGUGUAGAGGUGAAAUUCGUAGAUAUUGGGUGGAACACCGGUGGCGAAGGCGGCUCUCUGGCCUUGAUCUGACGCUAAGGCGCGAAAGCGUGGGGAGCAAACAGGAUUAGAUA
rnacentral:rRNA from 1 species